rnacentral:rRNA from 1 species
UACGUAGGUGGCGAGCGUUGUCCGGAAUUAUUGGGCGUAAAGGGUGCGUAGGCGGUUUUUUAAGUGGGAUGUGAAAUCCAUGGGCUUAACCCAUGAACUGCAUUCCAAACUGGAAAGCUUGAGUGCAGGAGAGGAAAGCGGAAUUCCCAGUGUAGCGGUGAAAUGCGUAGAUAUUGGGAGGAACACCAGUGGCGAAGGCGGCUUUCUGGACUGUAACUGACGCUGAGGCACGAAAGCGUGGGGAGCAAACAGG